rnacentral:lncRNA from 1 species
GUUUGGUUUUGUCUUUUUUUUUUUUUUUUUUUUUUUGUAGGAAGGUUUGAGACAGGGUUUUUUUGUUUAACCUUGGCUGUCCUGAAACUCACUCUGUAGACGAGGCUGGCUUCCAAUUCAAGAGAUCCUUCUACCUCUGCCUCUCAAGUGCUAGGAUUAAACGUGUGCGCCACCACCACUUGAUUGUAUUUUAAAACGUAUUUUGUGUAUGUGAGUGUGUGUGUGUGUGUGUGAGUGAGUGAGUGUGUAUAUAUAUGGGCAGGUGGGUGGUGGUGGUGCAGGUGGGGGUGUUAGCGUGUGUAAGUAUGUGCAUUCAGAGGUCAGAGGACAGUUUUCAGAACUCAGUUUUCUCCAUCUAAGACCUAGAGAUCAGACUCAGGGUCAGGCUUGGCAGCAAGUGUCUUUACUCAUUGAGCCAUCUUGCUGGCCCUUUUUGUUGUUGUUGUUUUAUUUUGUUUGUUUUGUUUUUGACAGGCGUUACCCAGGCUGGUCUUGAACUUGGGACAGUUUUCCUGCCUGAGCAUCUUGAAUGCUGGUGUUCCAGACCUUUGCUACUACAUCCACCUUUAUUAGCUAGCUAGCUAGCUAGCUUGCUUGCUUGCUUCCUUCCUUCCUUCCUUCGUUUGUUUGUUUGUUUGUUUGUUUUUCGAGACAGGGUUUCUCUGUGUAGCCCAGGCUGUCCUGGAACUCACUUUGUAGACCAGGCUGGCCUCGAACUCAGAAAUCCACCUGCCUCUGCCUCCUGAGUCCUGGGACUAAAGGCGUGCGCCACCACGCCCCUUUUCUUUUUUUAAAUGUAUAGUCUCAGGUAAUUCAAGCUAGCCUCAGAUUUAUAGCAGAGGAUGGCCCCCAUUUUCUAUCCCCCUGCCUCCACUUCUUACAGUUUUCUUACAUGGCAAUUAUAGGCAUGUGCUACCAUUCAGUAUGUCAUGUGUUGUACUGGGAAUGCCCUUCAGAGCAUCAGGUGUGCCAAAGCAGGUGCCCUGCCAACCACACUCCAUUCCCAGCCUCUCGUUCUAGUUCUCGUGCUUCAGCUCCCACUUCAAGUGGAAGUCCUAUGCUGAGCUUAUCCUAGGGAUUCCAUGAAAACCUGUCAGCAGAAGGAGGUGUGUGUGACAAAAAGAGUCAUACAGUCAUGACUGCUGUUUUAGAAGAGUCUAGUCUGCAGUGGGUAUGGCUCAGCACUAAAGCACUCCUCCAGCAUGUUUGAACUUUGGGGUAUCUUCCCAGCACUG